rnacentral:rRNA from 1 species
UACGAAGGGUGCAAGCGUUACUCGGAAUUACUGGGCGUAAAGCGUGCGUAGGCGGUCUGUCGCGUCUGCUGUGAAAACCUGGGGCUUAACCCCGGGCCUGCAGUGGGUACGGGCAGACUAGAGUGCGGUAGGGGAGACUGGAAUUCCUGGUGUAGCGGUGAAAUGCGCAGAUAUCAGGAGGAACACCGGUGGCGAAGGCGGGUCUCUGGGCCGUAACUGACGCUGAGGAGCGAAAGCGUGGGGAGCGAACAGG